UCAAAGUCUCAUGCGCAAUCUUCCUAAUAGUCUCCACCUUUGUCCUAGGAACAGCUGGACCUCUCAGGUGAAAUUCAUGAUAAAGUAGCAAGCAGCGUUAAGGAAUCAGUCUCAAAUGUAAAUGUAGUCUUAGACAAGAGGACUCUAUCCUGAGCUACCAUCUAACUGAGGGACCAUCUCCCAAUCCCCAAAUCUUCUAAAUGAUAACUUUUAUCACUACACUUCCCUGCCAGAUGCCCUUCAUCCUUCCCAGCCUCUCUUCAAGCAGAAUUCCUGCUGGCUUCACAAGGAAAGACGCAUGACGUGCAACAUGAAGCAGAGGGACACUUGCACAUACUUUUAACAACAACAGUGUUUCUUAUUAAAUCCAGUGGUAUUGUUCAAAGCUACUAUAAGAAGAAAACUGACAAGGCUGUGCACGGAUCUUUGUUUGCGCUGCUAUGUUUCAAACCACUUGAGAAACUGUGAUAGCUAGUUACCAUGGUGUCCUCAAGACCUCUUGAGAUGUGUAUGGAGCCUUGUAGUUUGGCUAAUUGUGUGGUUUCUUAAAUAGGGAAUUCAAGUAUUAAUGGAUAGGAGUAUUUACUUUCCACAAAUUAAACCAGAUAAAACUUAUUAUGUAACUCUUCAUACACAUUUGGUAUCUUCAGCUUUCCUAUUUUGUGGCUUGUAGCACUUACCAUAAAUAAAAAGCACACAUACUUUUUUGCGCAUAUAAUGUACCACAGAAUAUUACACACACCCAUUUUUGAAGGACCCCACAACAGGAAAAAAAAUCUCACGUUGGAGUAGUGAGUGCCAGAGGUCUGGGGGCUGCCUGCUGGGGCCAGCCCAAUCCAGCACACCAGCACCAGGGCCACAAAGCACAGUGGGACAUGAUUCAACAUGCUACAUAGUAGGCCCCAAUUUGGGAUGCAGUUUUUGGGUCCAAUCCUGCACAUUGGCUCUGGGGCCCUGCACAGUCCUGACUUGGACUGCUCACUGGCUCUGGAACAAUGUGCUGGGUCCAGGGCUGUGUGCUUGGUUGGAUCUGGUGCACUGAGUCUAUCCAUGGACCAACCUCAACUGCAGUCCUGAUCCAGCAUGCAGUGGGGAAGGCGGGCUCCUCCCAGGUCCAGAAACUUGGCAGCAGAGGGGCAAAGGGGGAAAGGGAAGGAGUGAUGCUAGUGUUAAUUACCAUGGCUCCUAGAGCUGCAGCAAUUAAUGCUGCCGCUGCUCCAAUACUUCCCCCCCCUCCCCCCAAAUUUCCAGACUCAUAGGGAGUCCUUUUCCUCAUACAUAAUGUACACCCCAAUUUUCCCCAGCUAGUUUUGGGGGGAAAAGGAUGAAGGUUAUAUGCAAGAAAAUGGUAAUUUCUAGAAACAAGGAGCUUGAUAUUGCAAGCUGUUGAUUCUGUCCUCACUCAGUAAAAUGGCAUAGUACCAAGAAUUGUUGAAAAAAGUAAAGCUGGAAGAUCAAAGGUCCUCUUAACCCUUGCAGCCCAUGGCAUUAACUUGGUUAAAAUGCACCAGUUUUUGUAGCCCAUGGUGGAGACUGGAGUGAUGUGAUUAGCAUCAUGUCUGGUCACUUGAUGCUUCAACCAGAUGACCACCUCCACAUUUGCAGCUGGGUCAAAGGUGGCCUUUGAAUUCUGAAGCUUGCAAGAUGCAUUAACCACCCUACUACUGUGCCUCUAAGGGGAUGUUAAGAGACCAUCCCUCCACACUGAGGGGGGAUAAUGUGCAGUCCCACUGACUUCAACAGGAUUACUUUCAAACUUUAGGUUAGCUUAAGUGACCACUACUUCGCAGGACUGAGCCCAACUUAGGAAGAGUACAUCAGUUAAACAGUUUUGUGUAGCAUGCUGGGUUUUUUUUUCUCAAAAAAGAGUAAUUAAGAUUGUUACUUCUUUCUAAAUUCCCUGAGGUUUCUGUGGAAGCAACCAAGCCUGUGAUAAAAGUAAUUGCUUAUGAGGCAGUCCCCUACACAGCAAAUUAAAAGAAUUGUAUGAUAGGGUUGUGAAGACAGCCAUUUGCCAAACCUAAAGAAUUGGAGCUAACAGCUGAAAAACAACAUGCAAGUUGUUCCAGAGGAAACAUGAUCUUAAAAUAGAGGAGUGAAGGGAAUCCUAGGGACCUCAAGGGCCAUCUAAUCUAACCCCUUUCACUGAUGUAGGAUAUACUGUUUCUAAAUUGUUAUAGAAAGCUGCGUAUUCUGUUAGUGAGUUAAUCUCAGAGAGAAUUUUUGCUCUCUUACAGCAGUAUCACUCCAUCACCUGCCAGCCUCAUUUGAAGCAUUUUGCUCUGUUACAUGUGCAUCAUCUUUAAUUAUUUUGUACUGGGAACAUUUAAUAAAAAAAGUAAUAGCCUCUAUAAACUGACCACGU